rnacentral:rRNA from 1 species
UACGGAGGGUGCAAGCGUUAUCCGGAUUCACUGGGUUUAAAGGGUGCGUAGGCGGGUAUAUAAGUCAGUGGUGAAAGCUCCGAGCUUAACUUGGAAACUGCCAUUGAUACUGUAUAUCUUGAAUGUCGUAGAGGUUAGCGGAAUGUUGCAUGUAGCGGUGAAAUGCUUAGAUAUGUUACAGAACACCAAUUGCGAAGGCAGCUAACUAUGCGAUGAUUGACGCUGAGGCACGAAAGCGUGGGGAGCAAACGGG